GACGAACGCUGGCGGCGUGCUUAACACAUGCAAGUCGAACGGAAAGGCCCUGCUUUUGUGGGGUGCUCGAGUGGCGAACGGGUGAGUAACACGUGAGUAACCUGCCCUUGACUUUGGGAUAACUUCAGGAAACUGGGGCUAAUACCGGAUAGGAGCUCCUGCUGCAUGGUGGGGGUUGGAAAGUUUCGGCGGUUGGGGAUGGACUCGCGGCUUAUCAGCUUGUUGGUGGGGUAGUGGCUUACCAAGGCUUUGACGGGUAGCCGGCCUGAGAGGGUGACCGGCCAAUUUGGGACUGGGUUCGGCCCCGGACUCCUACGGGAGGAAGCGGUGGGGAUAAUGGACCAAUGGCCGAAGGCUGGAGCCGGAACGCCGGGUGGCGGAUGACGGCCUUCGGGUUGUAAACCGCUUUCGCCUGUGACGAAGCGUGAGUGACGGUAAUGGGUAAAGAAGCACCGGCUAACUACGUG
rnacentral:rRNA from 1 species